rnacentral:tRNA from 1 species
CUGUAGCUCAGUUGGUUAGAGCAGUGGACUCAUAAUCCAUCGGUCGCGGGUUCAAGUCCUGCCGGGG